rnacentral:rRNA from 1 species
GAUGAACGCUAGCGGCAGGCUUAACACAUGCAAGUCGAGGGGUAUAGUUCUUCGGAACUAGAGACCGGCGCCCGGGUGCGUAACGCGUAUGCAAUCUACCUUUUGCAGAGGGAUAGCCCAGAGAAAUUUGGAUUAAUACCUCAUAGUAUGUGAGAAUGGCAUCAUUUUCACAUUAAAGUCACAACGGCAAAAGAUGAGCAUGCGUCCCAUUAGCUAGUUGGUAAGGUAACGGCUUACCAAGGCAACGAUGGGUAGGGGUCCUGAGAGGGAGAUCCCCCACACUGGUACUGAGACACGGACCAGACUCCUACGGGAGGCAGCAGUGAGGAAUAUUGGACAAUGGGCGCAAGCCUGAUCCAGCCAUGCCGCGUGCAGGAUGACGGUCCUAUGGAUUGUAAACUGCUUUUGUACAGGAAGAAACACUGGUUCGUGAACCAGCUUGACGGUACUGUAAGAAUAAGGAUCGGCUAACUCCGUGCCAGCAGCCGCAGUAAAAC